GUGGGGAAUAUUCCGCAAUGGACGAAAGUCUGACGGAGCAACGCCGCGUGAGUGAUGAAGGUUUUCGGACUGUAAAGCUCUGUUGUUUAGGACGAAAGUGCCUGUUGCAAAUAGUUACAGGUAUUGACGGUACUGAACGAGGAAGCCACGGCUAACUACGUGCCAGCAGCCGCGGUAAUACGUAGGUGGCAAGCGUUGUCCGGAAUUAUUGGGCGUAAAGAGCAUGUAGGCGGGAAUCUAAGUCUGUUGUGAAAAUGUGGGGCUCAACCCCGUAUUGCGAUGGAAACUGGGUUUCUUGAGUGCAGGAGAGGAAAGGGGAAUUCCCAGUGUAGCGGUGAAAUGCGUAGAUAUUGGGAGGAACACCAGUGGCGAAGGCGCCUUUCUGGACUGUGUCUGACGCUGAGAUGCGAAAGCCAGGGUAGCGAACGGGAUUAGAAACCCCUGUAGUCC
rnacentral:rRNA from 1 species